UACGAAGGUCCCGAGCGUUAUCCGGAUUUAUUGGGUUUAAAGGGUGCGUAGGCGGGUCUUUAAGUCAGGGGUGAAAUCCUGGAGCUCAACUCCAGAACUGCCUUUGAUACUGAAGAUCUUGAGUUCGGGAGAGGUGAGUGGAACUGCGAGUGUAGAGGUGAAAUGCGCAGAUAUCAGGAGGAACACCAAUGGCGAAGGCAGCUCGCUGGGACGGUACUGACGCUGAGACGCGAAAGCGUGGGGAGCAAACAGG
rnacentral:rRNA from 1 species